CACUGCCGAGAAAAGCCUCUAGAUAGAAAAUAGGUGCCCGUACCGCAAACCGACACAGGUAGUCAAGAUGAGAAUUCUAAGGUGAGCGAGCGAACUCUCGUUAAGGAACUCGGCAAAAUGACCCCGUAACUUCGGGAGAAGGGGUGCUCUUUAGGGUUAACGCCCAGAAGAGCCGCAGUGAAUAGGCCCAAGCGACUGUUUAUCAAAAACACAGGUCUCUGCUAAACCGUAAGGUGAUGUAUAGGGGCUGACGCCUGCCCGGUGCUGGAAGGUUAAGAGGAGUGGUUAGCUUCUGCGAAGCUACGAAUCGAAGCCCCAGUAAACGGCGGCCGUAACUAUAACGGUCCUAAGGUAGCGAAAUUCCUUGUCGGGUAAGUUCCGACCCGCACGAAAGGCGUAACGAUUUGGGCACUGUCUCAACGAGAGACUCGGUGAAAUCAUAGUACCUGUGAAGAUGCAGGUUACCCGCGACAGGACGGAAAGACCCCGUGGAGCUUUACUGUAGCCUGAUAUUGAAAUUCGGCACAGCUUGUACAGGAUAGGUAGGAGCCUUUGAAACGUGAGCGCUAGCUUACGUGGAGGCGCUGGUGGGAUACUACCCUAGCUGUGUUGGCUUUCUAACCCGCACCACUUAUCGUGGUGGGAGACAGUGUCAGGCGGGCAGUUUGACUGGGGCGGUCGCCUCCUAAAAGGUAACGGAGGCGCUCAAAGGUUCCCUCAGAAUGGUUGGAAAUCAUUCAUAGAGUGUAAAGGCAUAAGGGAGCUUGACUGCGAGACCUACAAGUCGAGCAGGGUCGAAAGACGGACUUAGUGAUCCGGUGGUUCCGCAUGGAAGGGCCAUCGCUCAACGGAUAAAAGCUACCCCGGGGAUAACAGGCUUAUCUCCCCCAAGAGUUCACAUCGACGGGGAGGUUUGGCACCUCGAUGUCGGCUCAUCGCAUCCUGGGGCUGUAGUCGGUCCCAAGGGUUGGGCUGUUCGCCCAUUAAAGCGGUACGCGAGCUGGGUUCAGAACGUCGUGAGACAGUUCGGUCCCUAUCCGUCGUGGGCGUAGGAAAUUUGAGAGGAGCUGUCCUUAGUACGAGAGGACCGGGAUGGACAUACCUCUGGUGUACCAGUUGUCGUGCCAACGGCAUAGCUGGGUAGCUAUGUGUGGACGGGAUAAGUGAUGAAAGCAUCUAAGCAUGAAGCCCCCCUCAAGAUGAGAUUUCCCAACUUCGGUUAUAAGAUCCCUCAAAGAUGAUGAGGUUAAUAGGUUCGAGGUGGAAGCAUGGUGACAUGUGGAGCUGACGAAUACUAAUCGAUCGAAGACUUAAUCAA
rnacentral:rRNA from 1 species